GGGCGAGUGGCGGAAUGGCAGACGCGUAGGUCUCAAAAACCUAUGAGGGCAACCUCAUGAGGGUUCGACUCCCUCCUCGCCCA
rnacentral:tRNA from 1 species